CUGCUGAUCCACGUAUUGGGUCUCAAUGAAGUCAUAUAAAUAAGGGUCAUUCUUGUCAGUUGCCAGCUUGUGUAGAUCAAAGAGUAACUGGUUCACAUUCUUUU